rnacentral:piRNA from 1 species
UGGCACCACUGCUCAGAGUCUUUGAAGUU